CCUACGGGGGGCAGCAGUGGGGAAUAUUGGACAAUGGGGGGAACCCUGAUCCAGCCAUGCCGCGUGUGUGAAGAAGGCCCUCGGGUUGUAAAGCACUUUCAGUGAGGAAGAACGCCUGGUGGUUAAUACCCAUCAGGAAAGACAUCACUCACAGAAGAAGCACCGGCUAACUCCGUGCCAGCAGCCGCGGUAAUACGGAGGGUGCGAGCGUUAAUCGGAAUUACUGGGCGUAAAGCGCGCGUAGGUGGCUUGAUAAGCCGGUUGUGAAAGCCCCGGGCUCGACCUGGGAACGGCAUCCGGAACUGUCAAGCUAGAGUGCAGGAGAGGAAGGUAGAAUUCCCGGUGUAGCGGUGAAAUGCGUAGAGAUCGGGAGGAAUACCAGUGGCGAAGGCGGCCUUCUGGACUGACACUGACACUGAGGUGCGAAAGCGUGGGUAGCAAACAGGAUUAGAUACCCGGGUAGUC
rnacentral:rRNA from 1 species